rnacentral:rRNA from 1 species
UACGGGUAGCGCGAGUGUUAUUCCUCUUGAUUGGGCGUAAAGGGUGUGUAGGCGGUAUAAUAAGUUAGAAAUGAAAAACUAUGCUGGUCAAUUGAUGAUUUCUAAAACUAUUAUGCUAGAGUGGUAAUAAAGAUGGUAGAACUUCUUGCAUCAGAUUUAAAAUGCGUUUAUACAAGAAGGAAUCCCAAAGGCGAAGGCAACCAUCUAAUUAUUUCUGACGCUGAGACACGAAGGCAUGGGUAUCGAAUAGG